CAAUCUGCCUUGGAGUGGGGAAUAACGGCUGGAAACAGCCGCUAAUACCGCAUGAUACAGUUGGGAGGCAUCUCUCUGACUGUCAAAGAUUUAUCGCUCUGAGAUGAGCUCGCGUCUGAUUAGCUGGUUGGCGGGGUAACGGCCCACCAAGGCGACGAUCAGUAGCCGGACUGAGAGGUUGGCCGGCCACAUUGGGACUGAGACAUGGCCCAGACUCCUACGGGAGGCAGCAG
rnacentral:rRNA from 1 species